AACGAACGCUGGCGGCAGGCUUAACACAUGCAAGUCGAACGCAUCCUUCGGGGUGAGUGGCAGACGGGUGAGUAACGCGCGGGAACGUGCCCUUCAGUUCGGGAUAACCCAGGGAAACUUGGGCUAAUACCGGAUACGUGCGAGAGCAGAAAGAUUUAUCGCUGAAGGAUCGGCCCGCGUCUGAUUAGCUAGUUGGUGGGGUAAUGGCCCACCAAGGCGACGAUCAGUAGCUGGUCUGAGAGGAUGAUCAGCCACAUUGGGACUGAGACACGGCCCAAACUCCUCCGGGAGGCAGCAGUGGGGAAUAUUGGACAAUGGGCGCAAGCCUGAUCCAGCCAUGCCGCGUGAGUGAUGAAGGCCUUAGGGUUGUAAAGCUCUUUCGUCCGGGACGAUAAUGACGGUACCGGAAGAAGAAGCCCCGGCUAACUUCGUGCCAGCCGCCGCGGUAA
rnacentral:rRNA from 1 species